rnacentral:rRNA from 1 species
GCACAAGCGGUGAUGAUGUGUUAAUUCGAUGCAACGCGAAAACCUUACCCACCUUUGACAUGUACGGAACCCUUUAGAGAUAGAGGGGUGCUCGAAAGAGAGCCGUAACACAGGUGCUGCAUGGCUGUCGUCAGCUCGUGUCGUGGGAUGUUGGGUUAAGUCCCGCAACGAGCGCAACCCUUGUCAUUAGUUGCUACAUUCAGUUGGGCACUCUAAUGAGACUGCCGGUGACAAGCCGGAGGAAGGUGGGGAUGACGUCAAGUCCUCAUGGCCCUUAUAGGUGGGGCUACACACGUCAUACAAUGGCUGGUACAAAGGGUUGCCAACCCGCGAGGGGGAGCCAAUCCCAUAAAGCCAGUCGUAGUCCGGAUCGUAGUCUGCAACUCGACUACGUGAAGUCGGAAUCGCUAGUAAUCGUGGAUCAGAAUGUCACGGUGAAUACGUUCCCGGGUCUU